AAGACUCAAAAUUUUUAGCUAAAAAUAAUAAUAUUCCCUCCAUAUAUCUAUUUUCCCCCUGAUUUCUGAAAAGCAAGAAUGCCCUAAUUUCAUGCUUGCUUUUUUCUUUCUUUCUCACGGUACCUCUCAACUGUUCAACAAUUUUAUUACGAAUCUGAAGCAUUCUUCAAUGAAAUAACUUCUUUUGGUUUGUCCAUUCUCCACGAUCUGUGGUUGAAAAGCACCCUGAGGUUGUUUUCUUGAAGAAGCUGGAGGGUGUUCAACCUUGUGAGGUCUUAGAACUAAAAGAUGGAACUCACGUAUUCAUUGUUUAUGGAGAUAAUUUCAUUAAUCCAGCUACUUAGGAUGUGGGUGCCAAUGUAGUAAUCAUCGAUGGUUUAAACAAUGAAGUUUGCCCACCAUGGGUUGUUCUUCUAAUUGGGUUUUCUAGCUACAUUUACUUAUGGAAAGCAGUCAACAGUGAUGAAUUAGUCAAACCCGAGGUUUGGCAAAUGUGUUUAUGUUUAAUGAUUGGUGAAAGUUCUCAAAAUUUUACUAAUACUAGUGCUUUAGUAACUUGUCUUAAGAAUUUCCCAGAAAGCAGGGGAAUUGUGAUUAGAUUGUUAAAGGGUUUUGUUGGUUUAAGUGGUGCAAUUAUAACACAAUUGUUUCAUGCUAUUUAUGGGGAAAAUGGGAAAUCAUUAGUUUUAUAAAAUUGCUUGUAUUCCACCAUUUGUUUGUCGUAUUUUGCUUAAGUAUGUUUGUAUUAUGAAAGGCGUUAAUCGUCAAGAAAAUGAGGUGAAGAUAGUUGAGGCUCUUUGUGCCAAGUCAUACGAGGAUACUACUGUUAAGCUCAAAGAAAUCUAGGCUCAAAUUUUAAGGCAGAGAAAUGCGCUUCGGCAUUUUGAAAUCGAAUAUAUAAAGGUUUGCUUCUGGACAAUAUUUAUUAUCGGUGAUCACACAUCCUGGAAGUAACCAAUAGGUACAACUAAGAGAACUUGUCUGUAAGUUUCUGCUGCUAGUUUCAUGGUCUAAAUAUCAUUUUCAUAACUAUGCUCGUGUUGAGAUGUGAAUUCCCCUCAAAGUUCUUCAAGUUUAUUUCUCAUGAAAAUACUAGUGACUCGAGAAUAGUUAAUUAGAAUUAGAGCCAUCAUUAAUGCAUCUCUUGAUUGUUUAGACGCUAUGCUUAGUUCCUUUAAUUACCUGAUUGUUCCUUUGUACUGAUUAAAUAUUGUUGUUAAGACGCUAUGCUUAGUUCCUUCAAUUACCUGAUUGUUCCUUUGUACUGAUUAAAUAUUGUUGUUUGUAAAGGUCGGUGAGAUGCUGAAACAAAAAGUCAGCACCAUCUCAUCAUUCACAGUUUCAAGGUCAAUUGCUAAUCUCCGUGGCAGUGGGAGAGGGCAUUUCAGUAAUGGAAGUAGCAGUAAAGUCCUUGGAAAAUAUUAUGAAACUUAUAGUCCAUGGGAAGAUGGAAGCUCCGACUCCAAAGAGAAGUCAUCAACGAAAUGAUGGUUCAACCUUAACAAUAACGGAUCAGAUCAAAAGAGCUGAAAAGUCGACUUUUAUCUCUAUUCUACACUUGAUCCCAAGUCUUAAGAGUGUUUGCAUUGCUAUCAAAUGCCAAGGGAGCAGGUAUUGCGACACCACAACAAGUCUGUUCAAACAUUCUUCUUUCUAUUUGUUAGUUUGUGCUUUUCCCAGAUGCAUUUUGUCUUCAGGGAAAUGAUGUUUGGAAUAUGUGAACGUGGUGUUUUUAUGCAUGAUAACAAUAAUGAAGAUUACCAAAUCAGAGUAUAAUAGAAUGAUGCUCAAAAUUGUUGUUGACGCUCUUUUGAAAAACAUAGUUCUUAUCCUUCUGAUUUUGCAGGAAUGCUCGUGUUUAUAUCCUUGUGCCGAUGUACGUUUUGAAGUAGCUCUAGGUAUAGUGAAUUUGAACUGUAUUGCACGUUCGAAAACAUCUAAAGGUUUUCACUAGCCAUAUGAUAUGGUGGUGUUGAUUUCUUAAAGAUAUUCUCUCAUCUGAAACCUCUUAAAUAUAUUUAGUUUGAUUUUAGAAGUUUGGUGUAACAUGUAGGUUUCAUUUCCUUACUUAUGAGUUGAUAUUACACACUGUUUUCCUCUUCUAACUUAAUCGUUGAUCAAUGCUUUCUUUUUUGAGGUGUAUGAAUUCAUUGAGUUAUUAUUGAAGGGAACUUCUACAAAGUCCAAAAAACUGUUUAGGCUCUUCACUACAGAAUUUAGUGUUGAUGAAUUACUUCGCUGUAAGUGUAGUUCCAAAGGAAUGCAUUGUAUUUCGUUGUGGUUUACUCAUGAUUACUCCGCUAAUACUUAUGCACGCAGACAGUUGCCUCUUUUAGAAAUACUUCCUCUGCAUUCUUAGAACUUGUUGCACCAUUUCAUAUUGUAAUUGACAACAUCAAAGCUUCUUUGCCAUGGUAAAUUUUGUUAUGUAGUUAUUUCUAAAAGCUUGAAUAAAUUGUUUUCCAUGUAAUCACUUUACUACAAAAUGUUUCUUUUUCAUGUCUCUGAUUGUUAUUCUGGUAUAGUUUCUAUUGGUGGCAUUUCAAUGUCUCAUACAUGUAAUUCUCAUCAAACAGUUUCAUGAGAUCCUUGAAUCAUAACUACUCUUUUUUCCUAUAUUUGAAGUUCAUAAAAAUUCCUAUUGUAUACAAAGAUGAAAAUAUCAACUAUUCAUUAUGAUGCAGGUUGUUUUUUGUAGUAGAGAAUCUUGGCCUAGAAAUACGAGGUCUUCCUUGGUGAUGUAGUUUUCUUCAGAUGUUAUUUGGAAAUAGCGAUUCAGUUAAUAAUUUUGAAGUGGAGUAUUGGGAGUAGUGUAUCUACUCCUCAUUGCAACCUCUUUCUCUCUGUCUGAUGUUGUGGUUAGCAGUUACUCCACUUGAUUGGUUGGCUUAUAGUGAAUACUCUUCAAUUUUGCACUUUCACAUUUAUUUCACUAACUUGUAAUUAUUUUUUGAAUCUGCAGGAAAAUGCCGGUAAUUGAAUUUGAAUUGUGGUCAGAAGUAAACUCGAUCUAUUGUAGUGAACGAUGAAGAGUUUUUGUACAAUUGUCAUAACGUUUGAAUGCAUUUGGUUUUUUGGAAUUUAUUGAUAUUAGAGAUCUUUAAGAAAUCAUUUUCUAAGAAUUGUUUGUACAAGACAUGUUUCUCAAAGUUUAUUUGAAAUAUAUAGUUUUGAUUUAAUUAUUAAUU